GCCCGUGUGGCUCAGUGGUAGAGCAUCACCUGAGCACUGAAGGGUUGAGGGUUCAAUUCCUAGUCAAGGGCA
rnacentral:tRNA from 1 species